GUUUUUAUAGUUUAAAAUAAAACACUGGUCUUGUAAACCAGAAAUAUAUAUCUAUAUUAAAAACA
rnacentral:tRNA from 1 species